GGCAUGGCAGCAAAGAGGACUGGCGAUGGUCUCGUAAACCAAAAAUCUUGGGCUCAAUCCCUAUCCAUGCCU
rnacentral:tRNA from 1 species